CGUAUGAGAGUAACUGUUCAUACGUUGACGGUAUUUAACCAGAAAGUCACGGCUAACUACGUGCCAGCAGCCGCGGUAAUACGUAGGUGGCAAGCGUUAUCCGGAUUUAUUGGGCGUAAAGAGAGUGCAGGCGGUUUUCUAAGUCUGAUGUGAAAGCCUUCGGCUUAACCGGAGAAGUGCAUCGGAAACUGGAUAACUUGAGUGCAGAAGAGGGUAGUGGAACUCCAUGUGUAGCGGUGGAAUGCGUAGAUAUAUGGAAGAACACCAGUGGCGAAGGCGGCUACCUGGUCUGCAACUGACGCUGAGACUCGAAAGCAUGGGGUAGCGAACAGGAUUAGAUACCCCUGGUAG
rnacentral:rRNA from 1 species